CACCUACAUAACAUAUAAGGAGUAAACUAAACAUCUUCACACCACAAGAUCAUAUGUUUAUAAUCUACGCUCUGAAGUGACAAUUUCGUAGUCCACACACAAAUCAAGAAUUACAAAAGCUCAGAGUAAGACUACUACUAAUAAUGUAAUUGCAACUUCAAAAUUUACUGGAACACCAUGAUUUUCUAGUAUUCAGACUUUCCUUGAAACAAGUGGUAAACAUCAUCUAAAGCUGCUUGUUUCUCCUGAAAAACAUGUAAAAC
rnacentral:lncRNA from 1 species